rnacentral:rRNA from 1 species
AGUGAACGCUGGCGGUAGGCCUAACACAUGCAAGUCGAACGGCAGCACAGUAAGAGCUUGCUCUUACGGGUGGCGAGUGGCGGACGGGUGAGGAAUACAUCGGAAUCUACUUUUUCGUGGGGGAUAACGUAGGGAAACUUACGCUAAUACCGCAUACGACCUACGGGUGAAAGCAGGGGAUCUUCGGACCUUGCGCGAUUGACUGAGCCGAUGUCGGAUUAGCUGGUUGGCGGGGUAAAGGCCCACCAAGGCGACGAUCCGUAGCUGGUCUGGGUGGAUGAUCCGCCACACUGGAACUGAGACACGGUCCAGAAUCCUACGGGAGGCAGCAGUGGGGAAUAUUGGACAAUGGGCGCAGGCCUGAUCCAGCCAUACCGCGUGGGUGAAGAAGGCCUUCGGGUUGUAAAGCCCAUUUGUUGGGAAAGAAAAGCAGCAGGUUAAUACCCCGCUGUUCUGACGGUACCCAAAGAAUAAGCACCGGCUAACUUCGUG